AUGUGCCAGUUCAUCGUGAUGCUGCUCACCACAGUUAUCCUGCUCUGUGCUGUUGGAAGUGGAAGGUCUGAGAGUCCUAUUACAUCAGACCAAACUGAGGUUGUUGACGAGGAGGGUGCCAAUUUAACUUUAUCCUGUAGCUACUCAGCUGCAAUUAGUUUGCAUUGGUACCGUAAAUAUCCCAAAUCAGCUCCUGAAUAUAUUUUAUUAAUUCUGCAAACCUCUGGACGGGUCCAGAAAGCAGCGAAACUGGAUUCUCAGUUUUCAGCGAGACUGAAUGAAAAGAAAAACCGUGUGGAGCUGAUCGUCUCCUCUGUCAAAGUGACAGAUUCUGCUCUGUACUACUGUGCUCUGGAGACCACAGUGACAGGAAACCUAUCCACACUGUACAAAAACAUACAUAUACACAGUUAUUUAAAAAAAAUACUCAUAUAGUCCUCAUUCAAAAAGUUAAGAUAUUGUAACAGCUAAACAGUGUAACAGCCCUAAUACUGUACAUAAGAAAAAUAUGUCCUUAUGAAAAAAGUAAAUUAUCGUGGUCUAUCUUUUGAGUAAUCUGCCAUCUAGUGGUCCUUUAGGCUCAGUACAUUGGCUGAAUUAUUUGUGAAAUACAUGUCUUUUGUGGCUUUAUGAUAUCAAAUCAAGCAGUGAAAAUUAUCUACUUAAGUUAUCUACUCAAAUGUAGUGAUUUUUUAAAGACAGGGAACAUAAGUAUAUGAGUUUCUUUCUGUCUAUUAUUUUUGCAUGUAUAUUUAUUUCCAUUUAUCACUUUGGUUGAAGCCAACCAAAUAUUAUUUAUACAAUAAUAGUAAUAAUAUAGUUGUGAUAUGCACAAAAGACAAGAGCAAAUGAAUACAUUCCUGUCAAAUUAAUGUUAAAUGCAAACCAGUUCAUUAAAGAUGAACACUAUGAAUAUAUCAAAGUUGAUCAAAGAACUUAAUAACUUAAUAAAAUGCCAGUAGAUUAUGACAUGACAUGGCAGUCUGAUUGACAGUCGACAAAAAUUCAGAAAGUUUGACAGCGAUACAGCAUGUCAACAUGUGUUUCUCCUGGGUUUGAGUCCGUGGAGCUCUACUCCAGCGGUUACGUGUCAGCAGAUGCUCAGCUGAUGUUGAGUGACUCUCCACAGACAGCUGGAGGAAAAAAAAACAACAAGAAGCUUCUCCUGCAGCAGCCGCUAUGAAGAAUGGCCCAGCAGGCUAGGAAUAAAAUUAGAAUCUAAUGGAAAUAGUAAUAAAAUAUUAAUGAUUUCUAAAUAUUACUUUAGAAAACAUUACUUGUCAAAAGUACAAGAUCACCACAACAAAUAUUAAGAAAUCAUAUUAAAAUGCUGUAUUUUGAUCAUUUGAUCAUUAUUCCUGUGAUCAUAGAGAGCUGUUAAGCAUGUUGCACUUUCUUGUGGCAGGGGCAACAAAGUGACCGCAGAUCUACUUGUUUUUGAGCCAAUGACACAACGAGAUCAAGUGGAUUCCCAAGCAGGUCCACCUAGCCUUGGUUGUAAGUUAAUGACUGAUCCUCUUCCAUCCCACCUCGAUGCUGGCUUAACAUUAGUCCCAGGUCUAACCUAUGUCAAGCUGAAACUUGAUCCGGGCAAUUCAGAGCCAAAACCAUGGAUCUCAGAUCUAUGCCGCAAUCCAGCAGAUAUCCAGCCAGCUCUUAUAAAUUGAUCCAUGUCCAUCUGGUGUCUGACAGUUAACUCAGAUCCGGCUGAUCCUGAGCCAUCAUGUAACUCAGUUACAUCUGUACCAAGCCUAACUAACAUGGAACCAGUAGGGUCUCAGUAGAAUUAUCUUGUAUUCUCACACAAAGAUCAUUACUUCUAGAUAAAAAAAUCAUUACAGUGAAACAGAAACCAAAUUAUAAAAAUAUAUUUUUUAUUAAACAAAUAAAACAUUUACAUUUCAUUAAAACAUACAUUAAAACAAUUAAAAGCAUUGGUUGUGUGUCCUUUUCGAGUCACCCUCGCCAUUGGUCAGUUUUUCACGGGCAAGUUCACUAGUUUACUGUAAAUGGAUUCACAGUAGUGAAGAAAUACAUGAAUGACCAUAUAUUUUCCCAUGAUUUCUGUCAUGUCUAUGUUUUAAUCUUCUUUCCAAGCUUUCUUUUUGGCCCUGACACUGAUAUCUUUCAGGUUCAAGUUCAGGAGAUGAUCAUAAGCAUGAGAACGAUCCUGCAUUUUUACAUUAUACCAGCAGGGAGCACCCAGAGUUUUGACCUACAAUGAAAGGAUACACAACCCUGACAGUUCAGAGGUUAUAUAGUCAAUCUUUCAGCUCUUUGUAGCAAACUGCUUUUGGUCCAUCAUGAGAACUAGGCUGAGGGAUGUGCUUUUUGUUGUAUUCUUUCUAGGUACGGCACUUUCUAGUUAUUUAUUUCUGUUGUUUGAGAAUGUGAUGUGAGAGGCAGUGUGAGUUAAGAAUGUUUUGUGCUCUCCACAGAAUGCAGAGGACAACACACUUUACGUCAGUCAUCAAGCUCUUCUUCAGCUUACACAGGAGAGACCGUGACACUGAAGUGUGAAUAUAAUACGACAGACACAAUACCUGCUCUGCUGUGGUACAGGCAAACAAAGAAUUUAUAUCCAGAAUAUAUCUUAGUAAGACAUAAUUUUGGAAAUGGAAGUAAUUCCAAAGACUUCCCCAACAAAAGAUUUCAGUCCCAGCUGGAUUCUGUUUCAAGAAGAAUUUCACUGACUAUCCAGAACCUUCAUCUGUCUGACUCUUCAUUGUACUUCUGUGCUUUGAGGCCCACUGUGAAAACAGGAUACUGAGUGUUUAAACAAAAACCUGAACUUCACAGCCCUCGUAAUAGUUAAUAGUUUGAUGCCAUUCUCAUUGUUUGUAUGUGAUAAAAGUAACACAGUUUAAUGCUGAUAAAUAAAGCAACAACAACAACAUGAAUUAAAAAAAUUAGUCAGUCGCUACUUACAUCUAAAACAUUUGUAUAUAAUUUCUAUAAAACAUAUUUAUAUACAUAUUAUGAAGCGCCAAAUAGGAAAGUAUUAUAUAAAAU
ensembl:lncRNA